rnacentral:piRNA from 1 species
UGGGAUUAUCGGACUCUUCACGUAGCCUU